CGCACAAGAGGCGAGCUCUCGCGAUGGCCACGUAGGCACUGGACCCCGCGAGGACCGCCCCAUCUCUCUCGUCGUCACCCCGCACCCCGUUCCCCAAAUUCUUCUCCUCUCCCUCGUUUGCCGCCGCCAGCACUCAUCGGCGCCCUCCCCCACAGCCGCCGCCGCCGCCGCCACCAGCGUCCCCCCUCACAGCCUGCGCCCCACCCCUUCUCUCCUCCCCUUAUCCCGACCACCAGGCGACCUCCUCGCCUCCACUUCGCCCCAGAUCGAGAAGCAGGUCGGGAUCCACGGCCACGGCGGCGUGAGCGCCUCGAUUUAGGUUUAAGCCGCGUGACGAGGGUGCUCUCUGCAGCGCUAACCCAAGUGCCGACGCCACGGACAAGGUUCGUCAAGCAUCUUUGCUCGUGGAAACCGAGCAGGCAGGAGGUACCAAUAUCUCCUCUCGUCUGGUUUUCUUCACCCCCCUAUGUGAUGGGUGCCAUCUGUUUUUGUGCAUGCUUCAUGGAGAGGAGAAGCUGCUCCGAUCCCAUCUGCUGAAGGAGGAUGCCCACCAUCCAAGGUGCUCGACAUCACCGCCAUCUGUUGCCUGCCAAGGUAACCUCUAUAAUCUGUUCUGUUGGCGGAAAGUUCGGGACUAAGUUUGUAUUGUGUAGCUUCUCCCUGUUGCUUUUUGCACUGAAAAAGGAAGAUAGUGCUUUGAACAAAACAGCCAUCUGUAGUUCAGUCAGCCUCAAUGCAAUGCAUGGGUGGUGUCGCAACCAAAGCAAGUUCCAGAACAAUAUAAAGGCCUGAAAGAUCAAAGUAAUUACCCUGCUAAGAAAAUACCAGAGCGAAGAUGUCUGUCUGAUAGGCAAAGCAGACAUAGCAAAGCUUCUUGUACGUAUUCGGAGAGGAUGCCUGUUGAUGAUCAGACUGGUAGCGCACGUUUACGGACACCAGUGGGCAGAACCGCAGAAGUCACAACAUUGGACGCAAACGCAAUCAGCAACGGCGACCAGACGUGCAGUGACCCGACGAUUGGCGACGUCUGCAGUACUGGGCGAGUGACGGACGACUGACAAAGUGAUGAUUCAAUUGAUCUGAUGGAUUCAGGGAUAGUUGGCUUGUCUGCCCGUUGGCCUGAAAUCCCACUUCUGAUCUUCUCUGAAACCAAAGGACGGACUGUUGGAGAAGCCCAAAGGCAGUACUGCCGGACCUAGGAGAAGGCGUUGCGGCUGGGUCGUCCAACAUGGAGUGGGGCAACGUUCUUGUAGCUGCCACCUCAUCUAUUAUGGAGCCUGCAUGAUUUUAAUUGGAGGGAAGAUGGGUGUUUUCAUCUGUGGCGUAGUAUAUACCUGGCGUUCAUCUUCAGGGCACAGCGUGGCUGGUUCUGGUGCCGGCGAGUUGACGCUCGAACGCCGUCCAGUUAUUAUAUAUCAAGGAGUUACGGCCGGGGAUCGCCGGCGGCGCACGUUCUCGCCUGUCUUGCUCAAGGACUGCAGAGAUGGAGAGUCUAUGUUGGGCUGCUCCUCCUCGUAUGAUAGGUGGUGCGGUGGUGGUCGCACAGCUGAGAUAUCCAUGGAGGAAGGGGCAAGAUCUCUGUUGGGUGGAUGCUUGAGCAUGUAUUGGAGGGAGAUGGGACUCCACCGUUCAUCCAUUCUACAGCGGAUGGAUAUUUAUUUAUGAGUAUGACCCAUGUACAGCUCAGUUACAGAAGAUGAAGAUGAAGGGAUGCGUUUGGAGGAGAAAUUAAAUCACAAUAUCACAUUCACGGCAGGAAAACAGAAUGCACCGUGAAAGCUUAUGUGGUAAUGAUGCUGAUGCAAGACCAUGAAAGCUGAUGUGGCAUGAUGGUGAUGUGGAUAGUGUGCAUGUUGAGAGAAUUGUUAGUAGUGGGGAUCAACUUUUUAAGAAUGUAGGAUGAUGGAAUCGGGAAAGUACUUGUGCAUUAAAUGAAGUGCUAAUCAUUUUUAGUUAGAUGGCUAUUGUGUUCUUUGUCUACCUAUUGUUGAUUAUACUUACAGGGCCUAGAUCAAUAUAAAGCUGUGGGAUGCACUGCAGAAGGAUUUGAAUGCUGGAAGUAAGAGGGUGAGAUGGAUAGAUAGAGAACCUUAUGCUUACUGGAAAGGGAAUCCAGAGAUCGCAACUAUAAGGCAAGAGCUUAUCAAGUGUAAUGUUUCCAGUAAACAAGAAUGAAAUACAGGGAUCUACAAACAGGAUUGGAUCAAAGAGAGCAAGGCAGGAUACAAGAAAUCAUAUUUGGCCAGUCUAUGCACCCAUAGGUACAAGAUCUACAUUGAAGGAUCAGCAUGGCCAGUUAGUGAGAAGUAUAUCAUAGCUUGUGAUUAAACAAAAUACUACGAUUUCUUUUCAAGGGUGUUGAUGCCCACUCAGCAUUAUUGGCCAGUUCGAGAUGACAGUAAGUGUAGCUCGUCCCAUCCACCCAACAGAUUGCAAUCUAUUCAAUACUUUUGAUCUAGAUGCUAAUAUGGCGAUAGCCUUUUAAGUGACUUAUAUGUCGUGUUUGCUGGCUUCUCCACUCAUGCAAUAGCCCAGAGGAUCACUGACCGUGUGUCACUGCAAUGUGUAAUAUAUAUUCUUUUUGCCUUGUUCCUAUAUGUACAUUUCAAGAAAAUGCACACAUGUUCUUGCUGCAUUUGACAAUAACUUCAGGUGAACAAAUGGCUUUCUUUUGUUCCAUUGUGUUCUCUGUAUUUCCUUCUACCUUUUCCUAUCUGUACAUUUGCUGCAUACAUGUUGUGACUAUAUGUAUGGGACUGACAUAGUAAGUUUUCCCCUUUAUAGGAAGCUUAAGAAUUAAGUUAUCUGAUGUGUGCUAUGUGCAUCUAGCUGGUGGCCACCAGCUAAAAAGGUGAGAGCAGCCAUGAAGGACUUGCCAGUCGAACUAAAGUGAGAGCGGCCAUGAAGAAAGCUCAAUUUGUGGUCGAAGGCUGCAAAAAAUUAUUCCAGAGUUUGGAACACUCCUGUAGCAUGCCAUCACGACCGCUUGCCUAUCAGGAGUUUCGUGCUUCAUAGGCAAUCUUCCUGUCCUUCUUCCCCCACUGUCUCUAACGGCCAUCUCCCUCUAGAUCUCCAUUCUUUGAGCACAUGGGGAUGUCUUGAUUAUCAAUGCUUUAGUCUAUGCCACUGUUGUUUUUAACAUACUGACUGGCCGUAUCCUACUAUAACUUCAGUUGACACAUUGUGAUCAUCCUCCAUAAAUAUUUUGUAGAUCCAGGCUUAAAUAUAAAAUGUCCUACUCUAUAAUAAUGCUGCUCGUCUACUCUAGGAUCACGCUAAUUGCUAAGUAGUUGAUGAAUACAUAAAUUAUAUAUCUUUGAUAUUUGUUGUUGAACUAAUUAGUACCGAUGUGCCUUCAAGUUCUGAUGCAAUUUAGAACAUCUCUCUUUAAGCAAAAGUCUUGUUGACGCUAAUUUUUUUUUUGUAGCUCUGAAUUUAGGAAUCAUUUGUCCUCAGCAGCGUGUUCAUGAUUUGGCAAGAUGUCUAGCUAUCUAACAUAUAGUAUUACUUUUCCUUUUUACAAACUCAAAGUUGUUGGUCUUGUUGUCUUACUGAUUAGAAGCAAUAAUACACAUUUUCCUGGUGACGUGACUUGAUAUUCUGAUAGACGGGGUCGCGUGUAAUAGAAUUGAUGCAUAUAGUUUGAAUGCACUGACCUAUUCUGCUGCUUUCCCAUUUUUUGUGCGUAUGAUAUUGUAGCACUAGCAUGUUUCAUUUGGAUCAGUGAGAUACACAUUCUCUCUUUCCUUCUCUAAUAUGUAAUUCGAGUGUGUUACUUUGCCUUUUCUAUUGCCAAUACAAAAGCAU